CGAAAGGGACGCUAAUACCGCAUGACAUCCUGCCUUUGAAGAGGUGGAGCUUUAAAAACAAGAAAGACAAGACCUAGCGCUUGAAGAGGGGCCCGCGUCUGAUUAGCUAGUUGGUGAGGUAACGGCUCACCAAGGCAACGAUCAGUAUCCGGCCUGAGAGGGCGGACGGACACACUGGGACUGAGACACGGCCCAGACUCCUACGGGAGGCAGCAGUGGGGAAUUGUUCGCAAUGGGCGCAAGCCUGACGACGCAACGCCGCGUGGAGGAUGAAGAUCUUCG
rnacentral:rRNA from 1 species